GAAAAUGGUGCCAGCAGGCACAGGGCAUUGCAUAGAGCUCUUCGGUUCAAGAUUUAGCCAUUGUCAUAUACCCACUGCUGGUGAACUUGAAGGCAUCACUUUCCUCCACUCUUGUACCAGCCUGCCAGUGACUGAACUUGGUGCAGGAUGGGUCACUGCCAUAUCAGAGAUGCCAGCUGGCCUCCCCUGUCUACCUGGUCAUCACACAGGGCAGGAGGAAUCCGUCAGCGUCUGGUGCCACGUGCCUCUCAUUAGAAGGCUGAGCCCAUCUACUGCCCAGACACUGCUGCCUUUUUUCACGACUUCCUUUAAAACAAAUGAAUUCCUAUGAUGUGUCUGGCAUCAUGCUGGGUGCUGCAGCGAUUACAGAGGGAAAAAAGAUAUACUUCCAGUCCUCAAGGAGUUUGCGGUCCAGUAGGGGGAUAACCACAUCUAGAUCAUGUAAACCAAAAGUAAAAUCCUAAGGCCCUCCCCCACCUCCACCCAACCAUCUAAACGGACUUCCUCCUCAGCCAGGGCAGUGUUAAAAUUUAACCUGAAAGCCUGGUUCAGGCCAUGAAGGACGUGGGGAUCGGACAUGCCUGAUUAUGUUUACCUCUCCAGCAUUAACGUCAACACAGACCUUAAGAAACAUUUCACAGCGUGUUCUCCCUGAAGCCUGACAGCUAGAAGCUUCAUCUGCAUGAAUAAACUUUGGUCUUUGCAGUGUCUUAUCGCAGCCCAAACAUUCCUUUCUAUUGAUCCCAGGUCUUUAGACAAACUCAACCAAUUGUCAACCAGAAAAUGUUUAAAUUCACCUAUAGCCUGGAAGCCCCCUACUCUGAGUUGCCUCACCUUUCUGAACCAAACCAAUGUCUUUCUUAAAUGUACUUGAUUGAUGUCUCAUGCCUCUCUAAAAUGUAUAAAGCCAAGCUGCAUCCCGACCACCUUGGGAACAUGUUCUCAGGACUUCCUGAGGCUGUGUCACGGGUGUGCGUUCUCAACCUUGGCAAAAUAAAGUUUCUAAAUUAACUGAGACCUGUCUUAGAUUUUCUGGGUCUACAACCCUGCUGUACCAGCAGAGUCAGGGGACAGCCAGAGAAAGAGGUUCAGGGGGACGAAGCACCCCCAGCAGGGCCAAGUCACCUUCUACAGCUCGACUCGCUCAGCCAUCCAAGACCACUUGGCUUUUUUUUUUUUUUUCCUGCACAAGCUGUGCUUUGAAGUGUGUGGGGUCUUAAAAAUCCUGCCCAUUCUAUUUUGAUCAGGCUUCUGUCAUCUGCAUUGCCAUCCUGGGACAAGUUGUCAGUCACUGUCUCCCUGAAAUGCACGUGGAGAUGCACAGGCUAAUCUAGGGACAGCUGGAUACAUGACUAAUAUUACCGAGGAGCUAACGAGAGCCUGUGACGUUGAGAUGCUGAGGAGAUGGACUGGUCGUAAGCGUUCCCCAGGUUUAUAGCCUUCUUUUCAGCACCCCUCAUGCCUUCCUGUGGUUGUCAGCAUCCCGGAUUAUCCUGAUCAUGGGGCAAAGAGAAUGGGGGCUUUCCCCAG
rnacentral:lncRNA from 1 species